rnacentral:lncRNA from 1 species
CCCCUGCAUUUUACAGCUUGUUUCUAGCAUAAAGCAUUGCGGACUAAAGCGUUGUUAUAGAUCGCUUUAUAAUCCCAUAAUCAUGUCUAUACGAAUGCUGUGAAAUGCUGUGAGAUAUUCCGUGUUCUGAACGAGUACAUAACUGGGCGCCUGGAGACACGGAGUGGAUAGAGGCAUUUGCGAUUUGUUACCGCUAUACUCUCAACUCUGGCGGUCGUGGGUGACGUAGAUAUGGAUCACGUGCGUAAAUUGAUGGGGUCACAUCGGAGCAAAACUACUCAAAUUUGAGGAUUACUUCUCCCCACAAUCUGAUCCACGCCCGGGAAAGCAGUGGAUGAGUAAUCCGUUCACCAGCACUGAAGAGACUUGUCACCGGUUCUUGAGGAUUGGAGAUGUCCUGUGACCAAGGCCUGCGCGCUCGUUUUAAUGAGAUGCGCCUGUCCACAUUCUGGCUGUUCAGCAACUCUGCAAGAUGGGAGAAACUCCCCAAAUACAGAGUUGCCACGGGACUGCAGGUGAAGUGUUCCGUGUUCUGAACGAGUAGGACUACAUAACGGAACAUGGAUUACGGUGGGACCGUUUGUAUCGAUUUCAAGAAAAAGCUGGGCGCCUGGAGAGACCGAUGUCAUUGGAAAGUAGGAUUUCACUGAUCUUUGUAGCAGCAGCUGGGCCUAAAACCUCUCGGAAAGCAUCCACGACUGAGGGCAUGACCAGCUUUUAAACUACAGGGAAAGUAGCCUGGCACCUGUAAAUGUUAUGAGAGAGUAAGUAUGAAGCUUUCAGUAAACUCUCGUUAUCUGUGAAAUUAUUGUGCAGCAUUUUUGUUUGGCUGGUCUUACAUAUCACACAGACUGGUUUUGGCAGGCAGCUGUUAUUUUAAACAAAUCCAGGCAGAAAGAAAGAGAGCUUGCAGGUUGUAUAGAAGGGCUAGCUUGUGUGUGUUUGUGUAAGUGUGUGUUUGGUUAACUUGGUCUCAGAGCAUUUUGUGUUAUUCUGUACAAAAAUCUGUAUAUAAAUCCAAGA